rnacentral:lncRNA from 1 species
GGAGAUUGUAUUGCGCUAGUUAACCUUAAACCACGCCAUUGCAUUGCCUGAGCUUCUUCUGGGUUUUCUGGGUUUUGUUUUGCAAUCUACAGAAUUGAGUUUUUCAGACCUUUUCUAUUUUCCUCAGGCAUUCUCCCCAAAAUCUCUCACGCAGCCCCCUCUUUCGUUUUCUUCUUUUCUCCAAAUCUUCUCUGUCUCGCAAAAUAAAUCUCUCUCCUUCCCCACGGUAAAAUCAACCUCUCCUUCCUCUCUAAUACUCUUUGCUCCAGUAAUCGCUCAUACGCAGUGAAAUAGUCUAACCGAACUCGCAAUUUGUAGAUUUAUCUCAAGAAUUAUCGCCAGAACUCUAAUGAAAAUUUGAACAAUCACUCUGCAAUUAAUAAAGACAACAUGAGAGGGUGAUUAUCCUAUAGGUAUGAAGCAAGAAAAAGUUUAUUUUUUCCCAUUUUAUUUUCAUUAAAUCAUUUCAUUUGAUAUUUUGAUAUCCCUAAAAUUUUAUUCAGUUUCCGAAUUUUCCUGCUUUAGGAUUUUCUCCUAAUCUCAACUAUUUACAACUUCGAGUUCUGUACAGACAAAUUUUAGUCCAUGCGUCUGUACCUAAAUCUUUCUAAUCUUGGAAGUAGUAUUAGUAUAUUGCUAAUAAUAUCAGAAGGAAAAAAUUAUAUUUUGAGGUAAACUUAUUUUAUGAGAAGUGGGCAUAUGUAGGAUGUACAGAUUAUACGAGUGUAUUAUUUUUCUUACCGAGAAAAGUCUCUUAUGCCUUUUUCACUACCUUUC